UACGAAGGGUGCGAGCGUUGUUCGGAAUUAUUGGGCGUAAAGGGUUUGUAGGCGGGAAUGUAAGUCAAGUGUGAAAUAGUCGAGCUUAACUCGAAUUCAGCAUUUGAAACUACAUUUCUUGAGUAUCAGAGGGGGCGGUAGAAUUGCUGGUGUAGGAGUGACAUCCGUAGAGAUCAGCAGGAAUGCCGGAGGCGUAAGCGGCCGCCUGGCUGAGAACUGACGCUGAGGAACGAAAGCAUGGGGAGCAAACAGG
rnacentral:rRNA from 1 species